UUUUUGCUGAUGAUACUAAGAUAUGUAACAGGGUUGAUGUUCCAGGAGGGAUAAGCCAAAUGGCAAAUGAUUUAGGUAAACUAGAAAAAUGGUCAGAAUUGUGGCAACUGACAUUUAAUGUGGAUAAGUGCAAGAUAAUGCAUCUUGGACGUAAAAACCCAAGGGCAGAGUACAGAAUAUUUGAUAGAGUCCUAACCUCAACACCUGAGGAAAGGGAUUUAGGGGUGAUUAUUUCUGAUGAC